UCGAGAAUAUUUAGCAAUGGACGAAAGUCUGACUAUGCGACGCCGCGUGCAGGAUGAAGGUUUUCGGAUCGUAAACUGCUUUUGUUAGGAAAGAACAUUCGUCGUUUAAUAGACGGCGAACUGACGGUACCUAACGAAUAAGCCACGGCUAACUCCGUGCCAGCAGCCGCGGUAAUACGGAGGUGGCAAGCGUUACUCGGAAUCAUUGGGUGUAAAGGGCAAGUAGGCGGUUUGAUAAGUGAGGGGUGAAAUCUCCCGGCUCAAUCGGGAAACUGCCCUUCAAACUGUCAAGCUUGAGGAUGGUAGAGGAAAGCGGAAUUUCCGGUGUAAGGGUGAAAUCUGUGGAUAUCGGGAAGAACACCAACGGCGAAGGCAGCUUUCUGGGCCAUCUCUGACGCUGAAUUGCGAAAGCUAGGGGAGCAAACAGA
rnacentral:rRNA from 1 species